CAGUAGCCGCGGUAAUACGGAGGGAGCUAGCGUUGUUCGGAAUUACUGGGCGUAAAGCGCGCGUAGGCGGUUACUCAAGUCAGAGGUGAAAGCCCGGGGCUCAACCCCGGAACUGCCUUUGAAACUAGGUGACUAGAAUCUUGGAGAGGUCAGUGGAAUUCCGAGUGUAGAGGUGAAAUUCGUAGAUAUUCGGAAGAACACCAGUGGCGAAGGCGACUGACUGGACAAGUAUUGACGCUGAGGUGCGAAAGCGUGGGGAGCAAACAGGAUUAGAUACCCCGGUAGUCCCUGUCUCUUAUAC
rnacentral:rRNA from 1 species